GUGAAUAUAAUUUAAUAAAAUAUUAGGUUGUGGACCUGAAAAUGAGAAAUAAGUCCUCUCUAUUCACA
rnacentral:tRNA from 1 species